UUAAAAAAAGAUGAUAAUAAACCCCGUACAGAACAUGAACCGCGCUCGGUCCAUGGCCGCGCGGUUAAUAAAUAAACCCCGUGCUGAAAAUUCCAGCCCGGUUUGGGAAAUUCAAGUUCGGUUAAAAUAGCCCAUGGGCAUGCUUAGUGAUUGUAUUUUAGGAAAUCAAGAUGGUUAAUACAGAAAGACAUCUCUUAAGAAUUUAGAGACACUGUCGGUUGAAAAGUGGUGAUUACUCCCUAAGCAGAAAAAGAUCCCUUAAUGGACGAUAUUUUCGUUUUGAUGAUAUGAUGCGCAGUGUUGGAAGCGUGCAACUGAAAGUUAUUCAAUCCCAAUUGCCUUAGAAGCACGGUUACGGUGCCACAAAUUGUAAAGACUUGAAAACGCAUCUCUAAGCGAAAUUGAACAUCGCUCAGAGUUCUCUACAACUUGCUGUAAUAAACGAGUUAAUAAACGUGGUAUAUUUUUUUGCUCAGAUCUACUUUUGUUUUCCAGAAAAUUUUCAAAAACUGCACAAGAUGUCGACCACUACAAAGAUGGCGGACAUUAGUGCGCCGAGUAUCAACGCAAGAACUUCGCUCCUGAAAAGUUCAAAAAAUACUUAAAGAAAAUGCUUGCCAGAAAAACCGAAAGGAAAGAAGGAUCAAGGGGAAAAGACCGACCGACAAGCAUUGGGUGGCGAAGAGGCUCUCAAGGAUGCCGCGUGCCAGAAACAUUAUCAAGUCAUGCCCAUGGGAAAUCGCACAAGGCUUACCGUGGAAUCAAUAAGGCACUUUCAAAGACCAUUCUUAAACGUGCGGGCAUAUUUAUUCCUGCUGGCUCUGGUGAGUCUACGCACUUUUGCUAAUUUAUGCUAGUAUCACCCAACUAGUGGACUAAUGCAAAUCCUGCAUUUUCAUUGGCCACG